rnacentral:rRNA from 1 species
GACAUAGGGCGCAAGCGUUGUCCGGAUUUAUUGGGCGUAAAGAGCUCGUAGGCGGCCUGUCGCGUCGACCGUGAAAACCCGCAGCUCAACUGCGGGCUUGCGGUCGAUACGGGCAGGCUGGAGUUCGGUAGGGGAGACUGGAAUUCCUGGUGUAGCGGUGAAUGACUGCGAGAUAUCAGGAGGGAACACCGGUGGCGAAGGCGGGUCUCUGGGCCGAUACUGACGCUGAGGAGCGAAAGCGUGGGGAGCGAACAGG